AGGAAAAUUAAGCCCAAGAUUUAUUGGACCUUUUGAGGUUCUUGAGAGGGUUGGUUCUGUCGCUUACAGGAUUGCCUUGCCACCAGCAUUGUGCCAUGUCCAUGAUAUAUUUCAUGUCUCGAUGAUUAGGAAGUAUAUAUAUGACCCUUCUCACAUCAUCAAGUAUGAGCUGGUGGAGAUUGAUAAAGAUUUAUCUUAUGUGGAAGAGCCUAUUCAGAUUGUUGAUAAGAAAGAAAAAGUCAUAAGGAAUCGGGUCAUCCCGCUGGUUCAAGUAAUUUGGAGACAUCAUUUUGGAGAGGAGACAACUUGAGAGCUAGAGGAGGAAAUGAAGAAGGUGUACCCCCGUCUUUUCAUCGAUAGAGGUACGAUAAAUUUAGAGGACUAAAAUUUUCUUUUAAGGGGGGGAGAGUGUAACACCCCUCAUUACUGAAUGUUCGUAUAAAUUUCUGGCGAUAAUGUGAGCUUCUAUUUUAAUUGACAGAAGAAACAGAGUAUGGAUUAGAGGUAUCUUAUUUUUAAAAUUUGGGAGAUCUGUUCAAAAAAGAAAAAAAAAAAAAGAAUCUGAGGACCUAUAUGUAAACCCUAAGGACCUAAUCGUGAAUAUGAUAAAAACAAGGACUAAACUGCAAAAUGCACCAAAUGACAAAUCCCACCGCUUAAGCUUCUCUGCCUUCGUUCUUAAGAAAGCAGAGAAGGCAGCUCGUGGGUGAUCAGGGAAAGAAAGGAAGAAGAAGAAGAAGAAGAAGAAAUUGGGGCUUUUAGGGUUUUUGCUUUAAUCUUGUUACUUCGGGUCAAAAUUUGCAAAGGAUAACGUAUCGCUUGCUUAGAUGUUACGAAUGGGCUGAGGCAGUGGAAAGUUUAGAAGACGUUGGGCAGAACUUUUGUUAGCAUAUAUGUAGUUGUGUAUAUAGCUACCUUGCAUCUAAUGAAAUGUGACUAUGAAUCUAAACCUGUGGAUUUUGUGUAAGUUAAAGGAUCCCUCAUGUAUAGGGUUUUGGUAUGUUAAAUUAAAUUUGUGUAAUGGUAUGAACUUAUGGUAAAUCGAUGAUUGUGGUGACUGCAUAGAUUUCCCCACUUGUGGAUUUAUAUUGUGGUUUUUAUUUUGAUGAGUUGAGUUCAGAUUGUAUGAA